rnacentral:rRNA from 1 species
UCUAAGCAGAGCCCUUGAAUGGUAAAGCCGCGAAUGGCUCAUUACAACAGCCACAGUUUAUUGGGUCUCCAUUUACUUGGAUAACUGAGCUAAUUGUUGAGCUAAUACACGCACCAAAGCUUCGACCUCACGGGAGGAGCGCAUUUAUUAGAACAAAACCAAUCGGACUUCGGUCCGUCCAUUGGUGAAUCUAAAUAACUUAGCCGAUCGCAUGGUCUCGCACCGGCGACUCACCUUUCAAAUGUCUGCCUUAUCACCUUUCGAUGGUAGUUUAUACGCCUACCAUGGGUUUUACGGGUAACGGAGAAUAAGGGUUCGACUCCGGAGAGGGAGCCUGAGAAACGGCUACCACAUCCAAGGAAGGCAGCAGGCACGCAAAUUACCCACUCCCGGCACGGGGAGGUAGUGACGAAAAAUAACGAGGCGGUUCUCUAUGAGGCCCGCCAUCGGAAUGGGUACAAUCUAAA